GCACGGGUGAGUAACACGUGACUAACCUACCCUGGAGUGGGGGAUAACUGAGGGAAACCUUAGCUAAUACCGCAUAACACCUACGAGUCAAAGGAGCAAUUCGCUUUGGGAGGGGGUCGCGGCCGAUUAGUUAGUUGGCGGGAUAAUGGCCCACCAAGACUGUGGUCGGUAUCCGGCCUGAGAGGGCGCACGGAACACACUGGAACUGAAACACGGUCCAGACUCCUACGGGAGGCAGCAGUGGGGAAUUUUGCGCAAUGGGGGAAACCCUGACGCAGCAACGCCGCGUGGAGGAUGAAGUACUUCGGUACGUAAACUCCUUUCGAUCGGGACGAUAAUGACGGUACCGAGAGAAGAAGCCCCGGUUAACUUCGUGCCAGCAGGCGGGUAAUACGAGGGGGGCGAGCGGUUGUUCGGAAUUAUUGGGCGUAAAGGGUGCGUAGGCGGUUUGGUAAGUCUGAUGUGAAAUCUAUGGGCUUCAAAUCAUAGUCUGCAUCGGAAACUGCCGGGCUUGAAAUGUGGGGAAGGUGAGUGGAAUUUCCCGGUGUACGGUGAAAUGCGUA
rnacentral:rRNA from 1 species